rnacentral:lncRNA from 1 species
UUAAUAUAUGUACUGUAUAUUCAUCAGGUCAUGUACCUAUUUUUCUUCGUUAACAAACUAGAAGCUCCUUUGUGCCUAAAGAACAGGUUUUAUUAAGAUAAUCUCAGAAGAUCCCCAUUACUAUUAUUUGAACCUUGAUCCCUUAUACUUUAAAGUGCUUAUCCUAUUGAGGAAGCAAAGACAAUUUCAAUUGUCCUCCUACUCUUUCUUUUGUCCAGCUAUAGAGUAAGAAAAUUAGAUUCUCUUUUGAAUGUCCAAGAUCAAAAUCUCCAUCUUUUAUUAAUCCCCCUUUUGCACCUCUUCUUGGUAUCAGUAUCUUCCCAUGUUUUAUACCCUGGACACCAAGAUCUUUUAUGUAUACUGCCUAGCAGGGACAUGCAACCUAAAGGUAUGAAGAAGAGACCUCAUAUGUAACAUCAGAAGAGCUUGGGUAAUUCAGUAUACAUGGCAGCAUCCAGAGAUACAAUUCUGAAUACAUCUAUCUCUCCAUAGUAUAUUCUCAAAGACUGCAGUGAAUAAAAUAAUAGAAAAGAAAGCAAAGAUUUAGGCAUUUACUCUCUUUCUCUCAAAUGGAAAUAUAAACUUCAUAUAAUUCUAACAUUCCAUUCAUAAGUACAAUAAUGACCUAGGAGAAACUAACAUUAGGAGAACAGUCAUAGUUAUGUGUCUACACCUUGGCAAACUGCCUAGAAAGAAAAGAUACAUAGAAUGAAAAUCUGAAUUGUUUUAUAAAUAUUGUAUAUCUCUACUAGCUAAUGGAAAUAUGUGUAUGGAGGCAACAUUCUUUACAAGAAAAAUGUUAAUUUUUCAUAUGAAUCACUUUACAAAAAUAUGUCCUUUAUCCUUUUUACAUUUGAUUAACCAAAAGAAAAUUAAUUGCCAUCUGGAAGAGAAAAAUCCAACCAAACAAAAACCAUUGACUAUAAUGUCUCUAUGAUUUUUCAGUGUUGAAAUUUCUCAAAUGUAAUUCUCCAGUAACUAGAAAACUUUAGACCUAUGUUCAAGGACUUUGAGUUUUCUGUAAAGACAAGUGUAUCUAUGAGAUGAAUUAUACAUUUAUCUUCAAAAGUGUUGAUGCCAGGGAUAAAAGCUUAGGCCUCUGUGCUCUUUUUACAUUGGCACUAUGGACUUCAACUCAGGCCUUCAGGAGAUCUGAAUAACCGCUCAUAUCCAUUGAGCUUCAUAUAUACAUACAUACAUACAUACAUACAUACAUAUGUAUAUAUAUAUAUAUUUAAAAUGUAUUUAUUUUAUUGGUUUUUAUAAUUUAUUUACAUUUCAAAUGUUGUCUGCCUUCCUGGUUUCUCUUCUGUAAUCCCCUAUCCCUUUUGCCUAUAUGAGGGUGCUCUCCCUCCCUCACCCACCCACCCACUUCUGAUUCACUGCUUUAACAUUGAUGUUAGAUAAAGCAAACCUCUGCUAUAUAUGUAGCUGGAGCCAUGGGUCCCUCCAUGUAUAAUCUUUGGUUAUUUAUUUAGUCCCUGGGAGCUCUUGGUGGUCUGGGUAGUUGAUAUUGUUGCUCUUCUAUGGGGUUUCCAUCCACUUCAACUCCUUCAGUCUUUCCCCUUACUCUUUCAUUGAGAUCUGCUUGGUCCAAUGGUUGUCUGUGAGUAUCUACAUCUGUAUUGGUCAAAUGCUGGCAGAGAAUCUCAGGGAACAGCUAUACCAUUCUUCUGUCAGCAAGCACUUCUUGGCAUCAGCAAUAGUGUCUGGGUUUGGUGUCUGCAGAAGGAAUGGAUCCCUAGGUAUGGGGUGGUCUCUAGAUGGCCUUUCCUUCUGUCUCUGGUCCAGUUUUUGUCCCUGCAUUUCCUUUAGACAGGAACAAUUCUGAGUUAAAAUUUUUGAGAUAGGUGGGUGGUCCUGUCCCUUAACCCUCGGCCAUGCCUAUCCAAUGGAUAUGGUCUCUACAGGUUCUAUCUCCCUUUUGUUGGGAAUUUUGGCUAGAGUCAUCCUCAUUGGGUCCUUGGAGCCUCUCACUUCCCAGGCAUCUGGGAAUUUCUAGUGGCUAUUCCCAGUUUUCCAUCUCCCACUGCUAUAUAUUUCUGUUCAAUUUCUUGACCCUCUGUCAGUAGGAUAUGCUGAAGCCAAAUCCUAGGUAGAGCCAGGAGAAUCAGGAGUUCGAGUCCAACCUGAUCUACACAUAUAUACAUAUUUUUAAGAAGACACUACAUAUAUUGAAUAUUUCUUAUACAAAAUAAAGUUUUAUUAUUAUGCUCAAGCAAUGAUGCCUUUAUGUAUAAUGAGAAAUAACUCCUAUUGAAAUCCUCAUGUAUUAUUCUACAUAAUAAAAUGGAAAUACAAUUUCUGGAAUUACAUACAGGCAAACCCCAAAUGCAUUACUUGAAAUAGAUUGUAUGAACAAUUGGGUAGAAACAGAUUUGUGGUCCAGUCAAUGAGUCAGUCAAGGUAGGGUAUUAUCUUGGAUGGAAUUGCCAAAGAAAAUUUUGCAGAAGGAUACAGUUGUGUCCUAGAAUGUCAUACU